GUCGCUGGUGUACUAGAGGUGGUUACGUAAACGCUUUAAUCACCGCGGCGCUUGUAACAAUGUAAACAAAUGGACGUGUCCUCGAACUUGGAGCCAAACGGAGGGGCUGAAUCGAUCUUUAAUCGAGCUGUCACAACCGGGAGAAAGGUUUAUCCGAAUCUUGGGAGAUCAGCAGGUAAAAUAAGAAGUCAAAGCUUACAGGGAGCUUUAUUAUGGCUGGAUGGUACAUGUUACAUAAAAAUUCUAUUUUUCCCCAUCUAAUUCAUGAAAUGGCAUCCAUCCUAUUGUCAGUGCUGACAGGGAAAAAAGAUGAACUGGUGUAUUACAACCUAAGACAAAGUGUUGAGAUGUUUGGCAGUCCUAUACAUUCACAGAGAAAAUGUUCUGCUGGAAAUAUGGGGCAACAUUCAGCCUGUACAC